AGUUUGAUCAUGGCUCAGAUUGAACGCUGGCGACAUGCCUUACACAUGCAAGUCGAACGGCAGCGGGCCUUCGGGUGCCGGCGAGUGGCGAACGGGUGAGUAAUGCAUCGGAACGUGCCAUUGAGUGGGGGAUAACGUAGCGAAAGUUGCGCUAAUACCGCAUAUUCUGUGAGCAGGAAAGCAGGGGACCGCAAGGCCUUGCGCUCUUUGAGCGGCCGAUGUCAGAUUAGCUAGUUGGUGAGGUAAAGGCUUACCAAGGCGACGAUCUGUAGCGGGUCUGAGAGGAUGAUCCGCCACACUGGAACUGAGACACGGUCCAGACUCCUACGGGAGGCAGCAGUGGGGAAUUUUGGACAAUGGGGGCAACCCUGAUCCAGCCAUGCCGCGUGAGUGAAGAAGGCCUUCGGGUUGUAAAGCUCUUUCGGCCGGGAAGAAAUCGCAUGGGUUAAUACCCUGUGUGGAUGACGGUACCGGAAUAAGAAGCACCGGCUAACUACGUG
rnacentral:rRNA from 1 species